GACGAACGCUGGCGGCGUGCUUAACACAUGCAAGUCGAACGGAAAGGCCCUGCUUUUGUGGGGUGCUCGAGUGGCGAACGGGUGAGUAACACGUGAGUAACCUGCCCUUGACUUUGGGAUAACUUCAGGAAACUGGGGCUACUACCGGAUAGGAGCUCCUGCUGCAUGGUGGGGGUUGGAAAGUUUCGGCGGUUGGGGAUGGACUCGCGGCUUAUCAGCUUGUUGGUGGGGUAGUGGCUUACCAAGGCUUUGACGGGUAGCCGGCCUGAGAGGGUGACCGGCCACAUUGGGACUGAGAUACGGCGCAGACUCCUACGGGAGGCAGCAGUGGGGAAUAUUGCACAAUGGGCGGAAGCCUGAGGAAGAAACGCCGCGUGCGGGAUGACGGCCUUCGGGUUGUAAACCGCUUUCGCCUGUGACGAAGCGUGAGUGACGGUAAUGGGUAAAGAAGCACCGGCUAACUACGUG
rnacentral:rRNA from 1 species